CCUACGGGAGGCAGCAGUGGGGAAUAUUGCACAAUGGGCGAAAGCCUGAUGCAGCAACGCCGCGUGAAGGAAGAAGGGUUUCGGCUCGUAAACUUCUAUCAACAGGGACGAAAGAAAUGACGGUACCUGAAUAAGAAGCCCCGGCUAACUACGUCCCAGCAGCCGCGGUAAUACGCAGGGGGCAAGCGUUAUCCGGAAUUACGGGGUUUAAAGGGUGUGUAGGCGGCAUGGUAAGCCAGAUGUGAAAGCCUUGGGCUUAACCCGAGGAUUGCAUUUGGGACUAUCAUGCUAGAGUACAGGGGAUGAAGGCGGAAUGCGUGGUGUAGCGGUGAAAUGCGUAGAUAUUAGGAAGAACACCAGUGGCGAAGGCAGCUUUCUGAACUGAAACUGACGCUGAGGCACGAAAGCGUGGGGAGCGAACAGGAUUAGAUACCCCAGUAGUC
rnacentral:rRNA from 1 species